GACAGAGGGUGCAAACGUUGCUCGGAAUUACUGGGCGUAAAGCGCGUGUAGGCUGACCGGAAAGUCGGGCGUGAAAGCCCUGGGCUCAACCCAGGAACUGCACUCGAAACUCCCGGUCUAGAGUGGUGGAGAGGGAAGUGGAAUUCCUGGUGUAGAGGUGAAAUUCGUAGAUAUCAGGAGGAACACCAGUGGCGAAGGCGGCUUCCUGGACACCAACUGACGCUGAGACGCGCAAGCGUGGGGAGCAAACAGG
rnacentral:rRNA from 1 species